GAUGAACGCUGGCGGCGUGCCUAAUACAUGCAAGUCGAGCGAACAGACGAGGAGCUUGCUCCUCUGACGUUAGCGGCGGACGGGUGAGUAACACGUGGGUAACCUACCUAUAAGACUGGGAUAACUUCGGGAAACCGGAGCUAAUACCGGAUAAUAUAUUGAACCGCAUGGUUCAAUAGUGAAAGACGGUUUUGCUGUCACUUAUAGAUGGAUCCGCGCCGCAUUAGCUAGUUGGUAAGGUAACGGCUUACCAAGGCGACGAUGCGUAGCCGACCUGAGAGGGUGAUCGGCCACACUGGAACUGAGACACGGUCCAGACUCCUACGGGAGGCAGCAGUAGGGAAUCUUCCGCAAAGGGCGAAAGCCUGACGGAGCAACGCCGCGUGAGUGAUGAAGGUCUUCGGAUCGUAAAACUCUGUUAUUAGGGAAGAACAAAUGUGUAAGUAACUAUGCACGUCUUGACGGUACCUAAUCAGAAAGCCACGGCUAACUACGUG
rnacentral:rRNA from 1 species